rnacentral:rRNA from 1 species
AGCGAACGCUGGCGGCAGGCUUAACACAUGCAAGUCGAGCGGGCACUUCGGUGUCAGCGGCAGACGGGUGAGUAACACGUGGGAACGUACCCUUCGGUUCGGAAUAACGCUGGGAAACUAGCGCUAAUACCGGAUACGCCCUUUUGGGGAAAGGUUUACUGCCGAAGGAUCGGCCCGCGUCUGAUUAGCUAGUUGGUGGGGUAAUGGCCUACCAAGGCGACGAUCAGUAGCUGGUCUGAGAGGAUGAUCAGCCACACUGGGACUGAGACACGGCCCAGACUCCUACGGGAGGCAGCAGUGGGGAAUAUUGGACAAUGGGCGCAAGCCUGAUCCAGCCAUGCCGCGUGAGUGACGAAGGCCUUAGGGUUGUAAAGCUCUUUUGUCCGGGACGAUAAUGACGGUACCGGAAGAAUAAGCCCCGGCUAACUUCGUG